rnacentral:rRNA from 1 species
UACGGAGGGGGCGAGCGUUAUUCGGAAUUAUUGGGCGUAAAGGGCGCGUAGGCGGCUGGGCAAGUCAAAGGUGAAAUCCCUCGGCUCAACUGAGGAACUGCCUUUGAAACUGCCUGGCUUGAGGCCGGGAGGGGGUAGCGGAAUUCCCAGUGUAGCGGUGAAAUGCGCAGAUAUCGGGAAGAACACCCGUGGCGAAGGCGGCUCUCUGGAACGCAACUGACGCUGAGACGCGAAAGCGUGGGGAGCAAACAGG